UGAGGAAUAUUGGGCAAUGCCCGAAAGGGUGACCCAGCAACGCCGCGUGGAGGAUGAAGGUCGUAAGAUUGUAAACUCCUGUUAGAGGGGAAGAAUAACUAAGUUUGGAGCUUAGUAUGACUGUACCCUCAGAGAAAGCCCCGGCUAACUACGUGCCAGCAGCCGCGGUAAUACGUAGGGGGCAAGCGUUGUCCGGAUUUACUGGGUGUAAAGGGAGCGCAGGCGGAAUGGAAAGUCAGUGGUGAAAUCCUACAGCUUAACUGUAGAACUGCCUUUGAUACUUUCAUUCUUGAGUUCGGGAGAGAGAGACGGAAUUCCAGGUGUAGUGGUGAAAUACGUAGAUAUCUGGAAGAACACCAGUUGCGAAGGCGGUCUCUUGGUCCGAUACUGACGCUGAGGCGCGAAAGCGUGGGGAGCAAACA
rnacentral:rRNA from 1 species